GAUGAACGCUGGCGGCGUGCCUAAUACAUGCAAGUCGAGCGAACGGACGAGAAGCUUGCUUCUCUGAUGUUAGCGGCGGACGGGUGAGUAACACGUGGAUAACCUACCUAUAAGACUGGGAUAACUUCGGGAAACCGUAGCUAAUACCGGAUAAUAUUUUGAACCGCAUGGUUCAAAAGUGAAAGACGGUCUUGCUGUCACUUAUAGAUGGAUCCGCGCUGCAUUAGCUAGUUGGUAAGGUAACGGCUUACCAAGGCAACGAUGCAUAGCCGACCUGAGAGGGUGAUCGGCCACACUGGAACUGAGACACGGUCCAGACUACUACGAGAGGCAGCAGUAGGGAAUCUUCCGCAAUGGGCGAAAGCCUGACGGAGCAACGCCGCGUGAGUGAUGAAGGUCUUCGGAUCGUAAAACUCUGUUAUUAGGGAAGAACAUAUGUGUAAGUAACUGUGCACAGCUUGACGGUACCUAAUCAGAAAGCCACGGCUAACUACGUG
rnacentral:rRNA from 1 species